AUAUUGGACAAUGGGGGCAACCCUGAUCCAGCCAUGCCGCGUGUGUGAAGAAGGUCUUCGGAUUGUAAAGCAAUUUAAGGUGGGAGGAAGGGCUUUAGGUUAAUACCCUGAAGUUUUGACGUUACCAAAAGAAGAAACACAGGCUAACUCUGUGCCAGCCGCCGUGGUAAUACAGAGGGGGCAAGCGUUAAUCGGAAUUCCUGGCCGUAAAGCGCGCGUAGGUGGUUCAGUAAGAUGGGUGUUAAAGCCCCGGGCUUAACCUGGGAACUGCUUUCAUAACUGCUGAGCUAGAGUACGGUAGAGGGUAGUGGAAUUUCCUGUGUAGCGGUGAAAUGCGUAGAUAUAGGAAGGAACACCAGUGGCGAAGGCGACUACCUGGACUGAUACUGACACUGAGGUGCGAAAGCGUGGGGAGCAAACA
rnacentral:rRNA from 1 species